rnacentral:lncRNA from 1 species
GUAGCUGAGGACAUGAGGAGACCUUCCCGCUGAAAUCCCAUCUUCUUCGAGACCCCCCUCCCUUUGAGCCAUCAUCCUCUUUAGAAGAAAACAACCAGAGCAAAAAAGCACAUAAUCUCUAGGCUUUAGAACAACAAACGACCGCCCGUCGAUCCCCAUUCCCACCAUCACUACUCCUCCUCUUUACCUUAACUCGCUGAAAACCACUUAGACACAGCCACAUACACGCACAGAAGGAGCAAGGGAUAGUAGCAAACUAGUCGAGCUUUUAUGAGCAUGAGAGGAACGUGAAUCUGGUUUCAAGCUUCGCUUGACUUAUUUUAGAUAUUGUCCAUUCAAUCUGUUUUGAAACCGUGAUUAAGGUACUGUCAGGGUUGUUCGUCAAGGUCUCAGUCCAUUGUGUGCGAGUUUCCGUUCGUGAUCUUAUUGCCUGAACUUCAAAACAGCCCAGUUUUGAAUUCCAAAUCGUGUUUAAGGUCAAUCCCCUUUCCUAUCUAUAUUUCUUAUUCGAUCUCAUACCUAUGUGAUGUCGUGUUUUGUGUAAUUUUGCUUACUCAUUUGCUGAACUUAAAGGAAAUGCAAAAAUACAGACCUUAGCAUUUGUCAUUUUUACAGCUAAAGACAACGUUCUCAACAGAUGCAUGUUUGAGCUCAACCUCUACUGCUUGGUGUGGUUAUGUUGAUUUUCUCCUUCAUCCUUUAGAUUUAAUACAUAUGAAUCUUGUUAAUUUAAAGAAAGUUUAGGUUGGUAGUACUUGUUUGUAAUUACUCAAUGUUACUGUUAUGUCCUUAAUAGUUGGGAUGCGAAAUUUAGUGUUAGUUCAUGAACUGGAAUCGGCAAAUGGGAAUUCAUUACACGAACGUUGCAUUACCUUAUAACUCAAUUGGAGGCUUUAUGGGUUUCUUUGGAGGUGUUGCAUAUGACCUUGUAAAUUAUAUUUUUCAAUCCUCCCUAUGGUCAGGAGAGUAUAUACCCAUCGAUGAG